rnacentral:lncRNA from 1 species
ACAGCCAACGCGAUCUUUCCUACAUCCUCAUCUGCCUGCAUAAUCUUUUUGAUACGAGACUGAAAUGUAGUAGUAAAGUUUUUCAUCAGUACAGUCAUCUUUUUGCACCGAAGCAUAAAUGAUACGUAGAUGUUGCUGACACCUCAAAUAUUAUUUGAAAAGAAAAUUUAAAGAAUAAUGAUAAUCGAAUAGCAUCCACAGGAAGACAAGAUCACUGUACUCUGAAGUCAUCACUAGAGAUAUAGCAUGAGUGGAACGAAAUAAUACCACCAUAGAAAAUUCAAGAGAAGUAUUUAAUGAUAUCAUACGUUAAAAAUUAGAAGACAUAAUUGCUUGAAUGAUAUGGCAACACUCCGUAUUAAGACUGACCCAAGAACGAGAGAGCUCAUGCCAUCAAUUAAGGUAGCUGUAAUAAAAACUUAGAAGGUCAUAGAAAACCCCAGUGAUAGACCACGUACAUCACAAGCAAAGAUUAUGUAGCUACAACUGGUGGUAGACAAAAUUUCACAUUCACCCAACGGAACUCUUUGCCCAGGCUGCUCCCACUGAUUAGACAUACCCGAAUACCAUUAGUACUACAAUAAAAGCAGAACCUUACUUCGUUAAUUCUACCCGUCAUUGAAUUAUUUGCGCGCUAACUGUUCAAUGGUAAAUCUAUUAAAUCCGUCAUAAAAAUGCAUAGGUCUAAUUAUAUGUAACAGAUGCAACAAUUCAAGUCUAUUUGAUUUUAUUUCAGGUAGAUAGACUAAGUAACUGAGAUCUUGGUGUCAUUCAAUAAAACACUCAUGGCAUCAAAAAAGACCCUACUAGUGGGCAAUUGAGGGAUUUCCUGGUAAACUGCGUCCUUAGAAAAAGAAUCAAGGGGGGAAAUCCUAACCACCGAUGCUGGAUAAAAUCAGACAAUCCAGCAGCUGUUAUACUAUAAUGAUGCCAUGUUAGUCAGGAUUAGUAUUAAUGUAACUUCCAGCAACCACUUAAAAUGAAACAGAAGAACCACUUAUCAACAGCAUAACAUUAAAAUGCGCGUGGUACAGCUGAUAAGAUCAAUGACCAAAUUCCCCUCUCUCCCAUUCUUUUCAUUUACCCAACACGAAGUCUUCAGGCAUAAUUAACCUGGCACAUUUCAACUAAAUCAAAAACGGAACAAUAACCUAGGGAUCUUACUCCUUUCGCUUGCACAAUAGCCCCUUGCAUCCCAUUUUCACAAAUUGAAAGGAGACCAUGCUGGGAUCUCAAGCAUUUCCAUCUGCAUACAACAGGUGCCCAUCCCCACGCUUGAUCCACCCUCUACGACUCAAUUAAGACCGCGGAAACGAUUCAGCACACUAGCGUCCCGGUCUACAACACAUUCGAAGCAUAACACGGAAGAAUUCAGCCAAAAAAACGCAACCGAAUCUCCAUUGCCGUAACGAAUCGCAACAAAACGUUUCGUACACGCGCAAUGAAGAAAUCCAGCAACAGAUCAGCAACAGAAACGCCAGAAUAAUCAACGCCAAACAGCCGGGCCUUCAUGUCAAGCCAUAUCAUCGCAAAUUACAGAUAAACCAUGUAAACAAGACAGAUCAAACGGAAGGAAGGAACCGAGCUAAAAGAGUAUGAAAAAAUACGCAAGGACACGUACCGCGGGGAAUCUCGUGCCGAGCUUCUUCCUCAUCUCCCCCCUCCCUUU